rnacentral:lncRNA from 1 species
GGAGCUAGUGCUUGUGCUGAGCUUCUAGCUGUGGGAUAAAUCUGGAGGGUACAGUGAGGCUGGCCACUGGAGGAUCACGUGGGCUCCCAAGUGCCCAUGAUCCAUCAUUUAGCAUUCAGUUGUGAAUAAGACAGGGGUAUGGAGGUCAAACAUAUAGGAAAGAAUGCUGGAAGCCAAGCUUGCACAUUCUAGGCAGCCAUUUGGAAGAUUCUUCUCUGCGCAUGACCAGCUGAAAAGGAAAAACCCCGAAACAUUGGCACUGUGAUUUCUCCAUGUGAACAGUUUAGUUCGCCGAGGUGGACAUGCCUCAUUCAUGCUUAUGGAGUGACCGACCAGCCUUUAGUGACACCCCCUGAAAUGUGAGUCAUCCAUGGGUCACUAGUCAUUGGAGAAGAGCCCCUUAUACAAAACUUGGAGCUCAGACCACAAACAACAACAACAAUCCAAAAAAUAAAAAAAUGAAAAAUUAGGAGCAGAGACUAAAUGGAAAGAUGGAAAUAUUAAAAUAAAAAUAUUAUUUUAAAAAUUA